rnacentral:rRNA from 1 species
AGCAGUAGCCGCGGUAAUACGUAGGUGGCAAGCGUUGUCCGGAAUUAUUGGGCGUCAAGCGCGCGCAGGCGGUUUCUUAAGUCUGAUGUGAAAGCCCCCGGCUUAACCGGGGAGGGUCAUUGGAAACUGGGAGACUUAGAAUGCAGAAGAGGAGAGUGGAAUUCCAUGUGUAGCGGUGAAAUGCGUAGAUAUAUGGAGGAACACCAGUGGCGAAGGCGACUCUCUGGUCUGUAACUGACGCUGAGGCGCGAAAGCGUGGGGAGCAAACAGGAUUAGAUACCCCAGUAGUCCCUGUCUCUUAUA